UACGUAGGGGGCAAGCGUUGUCCGGAAUCAUUGGGCGUAAAGCGCGCGUAGGCGGCCCGGUAAGUCCGCUGUGAAAGUCAAAGGCUCAACCUUUGAAUGUCAGCGGAUACUGCCGGGCUAGAGUCCGGAAGAGGCGAGUGGAACUCCUGGUGUAGCGGUGGAAUGCGCAGAUAUCAGGAAGAACACCAACGGCGAAGGCAGCUCGCUGGGACAGAACUGACGCUGAGGCGCGAAAGCGUGGGGAGCGAACAGG
rnacentral:rRNA from 1 species